CGAAAGCGUGGGUAGCAAACAGGAUUAGAUACCCUGGUAGUCCACGCCCUAAACGAUGUCAAUUAGCUGUUGGGCAACUUGAUUGCUUAGUAGCGUAGCUAACGCGUGAAAUUGACCGCCUGGGGAGUACGGUCGCAAGAUUAAAACUCAAAGGAAUUGACGGGGACCCGCACAAGCGGUGGAUGAUGUGGAUUAAUUCGAUGCAACGCGAAGAACCUUACCUGGUCUUGACAUGUACGGAAGAGAGUAGAGAUACUCUUGUGCCUUCGGGAGCCGUAGCACAGGUGCUGCAUGGCUGUCGUCAGCUCGUGUCGUGAGAUGUUGGGUUAAGUCCCGCAACGAGCGCAACCCUUGUCAUUAGUUGCCAUCAUUAAGUUGGGCACUCUAAUGAGACUGCCGGUGACAAACCGGAGGAAGGUGGGGAUGACGUCAAGUCCUCAUGGCCCUUAUGACCAGGGCUUCACACGUCAUACAAUGGUCGGUACAGAGGGUAGCCAAGCCGCGAGGUGGAGCCAAUCCCAGAAAACCGAUCGUAGUCCGGAUUGCACUCUGCAACUCGAGUGCAUGAAGUCGGAAUCGCUAGUAAUCGCAGGUCAGCAUACUGCGGUGAAUACGUUCCCGGGUCUUGUACACACCGCCCGUCACACCAUGGGAGUGGGGGAUACCAGAAGUAGAUAGGGUAACCGCAAGGAGCCCGUUUACCACGGUAUGUUUCAUGACUGGGGUGAAGUCGUAACAAGGUAGCCGUAGGGGAACCUGCGGCUGGAUCACCUCCUUU
rnacentral:rRNA from 1 species